GUGAAUCAUCGAAUUUUUGAACGCAAAUUGCACUCUCCUCGGAGAGUAUGUCUGUUUGAGGGUCAGCCUAUAAACAAUCGACAUCGUUGCUGUUUCGCGGUGGCGUUCGUCGGAAAUUGGGUCAUCUUAAAUCUUUUGGUUUUAAGCGACUUAAAAUUUUCUUUUUGGUUCUAUGAACGUUUCUAAGAUUUAUUUAUUUACACGUGUAAGGUAUCGAUUUUUAUUAGACGUGACUAUCAUAUCGGAUAGCGCAAACACU
rnacentral:misc_RNA from 1 species